UACCAGCACCCCGAGUGGUCGUGACAAUUAUUGGGCCUAAAGCAUCCGUAGCCGGUCAUGCAAGUCUUCCGUUAAAUCCAGCCGCUCAACGGUUGGGCUGCGGAGGAUACUACGUGGCUAGGAGGCGGGAGAGGCAAGCGGUACUCAGUGGGUAGGGGUAAAAUCCUUUGAUCCAUUGAAGACCACCAGUGGCGAAGGCGGCUUGCCGGAACGCGCUCGACGGUGAGGGAUGAAAGCUGGGGGAGCAAACCGG
rnacentral:rRNA from 1 species